AUGUGCGAUCAUACCAUCCCUAAAGCACUGGAUCCUAUCAGAACUACGAAGUUAAGCAUUCUUGGGAGAGAGUAGUACUAGGAUGGGUGACCCCCUGGGAAGUCCUCGUGUUGCACUCC
rnacentral:rRNA from 1 species